rnacentral:rRNA from 1 species
GAUAGGCCGGGUGUGUAAGCGCAGCGAUGCGUUGAGCUAAGCGGUACUAAUGAACCGUGAGGCUUAACCUUACAACGCCGAAGGUGUUU